rnacentral:rRNA from 1 species
AGUUUGUUGGUAAGGUAAUGGCUUACCAAGGCGACGAUCAGUAUCUGGUUUGAGAGGAUGAUCAGACACACUGGAACUGAGACACGGUCCAGACUCCUACGGGAGGCAGCAGUGGGGAAUUUUCCGCAAUGGGCGAAAGCCUGACGGAGCAAUCUCGCGUGAGGGAUGACGGCCUAUGGGUUGUAAACCUCUUUUUUCAGGGAGGAAUCAAAUGAUGUGUACCUGAAGAAUAAGCAUCGGCUAACUUUGUGUUAGCAGCCGUGGUAAGACGGAGGAUGUAAGUGUUAUCCGGAAUCACUGGGCGUAAAGUGUCUGUAGGUGGUUUAGUAAGUCAACUGUUAAAUCUUGGAGCUUAAUUUUAAAAUUGCAGUUGAAACUGCUAGAUUAGAGUAUAGUAGGGGUAAAGGGAAUUUCCAGUGGAGUGGUGAAAUGUGUAGAGAUUGGAAAGAACACCGAUGGCGAAGGCACUUUACUGGGCUAUUACUGACACUCAGAGACGAAAGCUAGGGUAGCAAAUGGGAUUAGAUACCCCAGUAGUCCUAGCCGUAAAUAAUGGAUAUUAGAUGUUGAAUAGAUUGACCUGUGCAGUAUUAAAGCUAACGCGUUAAGUAUCCCGCCUGGGAAGUAUGCUCGUAAGAGUGAAACUCAAAGGAAUUGACGGGGGCCCGCACAAGUGGUGGAGUAUGUGGUUUAAUUUGAUACAAUGUGAAGAACUUUACCAGGGUUUGAUAUGAUACGAAUUUCUUUGAAAGAAGAAAGUGCCGUUUGGAACGUAUAUAUAGGUGGUGCAUGGCUGUCGUCAGCUCGUGUCGUGAGAUGUUGGGUUAAGUUUCGCAACGAGCGUAACCCUUAUUUUUAGUUGCCUUAUGGAACUUUAGAAAGACUGCUGGUUAUAAACCGGAGGAAGGCGGGGAUGACGUCAAGUCAGCAUGCCCCUUACACCCUGGGCUACACACGUGCUACAAUGGGUGAGACAAUGAGACGCAACUCUGCGAAGACAAGCUAAUCUAGAAACUUAUUUUAAGUUCGGAUUGUAGGCUGCAAUUUGCCUGCAUGAAGUUGGAAUCGCUAGUAAUCGCUGGUCAGCUACACAGCGGUGAAUUCGUUCCCGGGCCUUGUACACACUGCCCGUCACACCAUGGAAGUUGGUUAUGCCCGAAGUUGUUACUCUAACCUUUUUGGAGGAGGAUGCUUAAGGUAGAAUAAGUGAUUGGGGUGAAGUUGUAACAAGGUAACCGUACUGAAGGUGCGGUUG